AGGAAGGGAUAGCGAAAUCGUGGUACUACGAACAGAAACGUGAUACAAAGGCGUAUAUAGCGGACAAGGUGGCUCAGAACACUAGAGUCCAAAAAGGUAGUCGUAACCUAUAUGCGUAAAUCACGAGUGUAAUUGAAUUCGGACUAAGGUCAGUGU
rfam:Streptococcus agalactiae LMG 14747 ctg7180000010264, whole genome shotgun sequence.